GUGCAUACGUUACUGAAAAAGCCGGGAGUUAGUCGAAGCGGCCGUUGGGUGCUGAGUAGCUACAGAUAACUUUUUUUUUCUGAGUCAUCCAGAGGAUCGAGAACCUACAAUAGUGAGUUACGGGGGUAACUAAGUUGGGCUGAAUUAUACAUUAGCUGUAAGGUUAUGGAAGGGUAUGGACAAAGUAUGAAAAUCAUAUACUCAGGUAAGCAUACUCUGCAGACACACUUCAGGGGUAAAUACGGGAGUAACUAUACUGUUAUAGUAUUUUGUAUGUACUCAAGCAGAAUCCCAGUUUUAAAUUGCUUAAUAAAGUACAGAUUCUGGAAAAAAAAACUCAAUUACAAAAUCAAGAGUAUUUAUACCUCUGGUAAUGCAUUAGGUGAUAACUGGUGAUUUCUCUCCUGCCCCUUCACCACCUUAGCUACUGUGUGGUGAGCGUACUGGUGCAGAAUGGCUGCCGUUGCAUCAUCCAGGUGGGGGCUACACAGUGGGGGUGUUGAAGUGGCCCCCCAUUGGCUCUGUAUAGUGCUUUGGGUGUCUUGAAAUGCUCUAUAUAAAUGUGACAUUCAUUCAAAAAUUUUCCUUCAAGCCUUCCACCGAACUCUGUCUCCCAGAACUGCCCCUCAUGACACC